AGCAUUGUGUCUAACUAUCCAGUGUUGAGAUGGGGAUGAGUGGCCUCCUGAGUGUUCUGCUGGUCACAUCAGCAGCCUUGCUGUUUAUAGCUAACGGACAGAGCAACUAUGAUAUGUUGAGUGCGGUUGACAAGAAACAUGUUGACAUGGCUAUAAGAUAUGCAAAUAAGAAUAGUGAAUUUAUGAAAUACAAUCAAAAUGAGCACCUCAAUUUUUUACAAGUUAUUGGACAAUCUGAGACCAAGGCUCGGGAAUUUAAAAUCAACUUGGUGUUGAAAGCAACAGACUGCCUUAAGGCCAGUAGUGAUAGUGAACAUAAACAUCACCCUGAAUGUCGCUUUAAAUCCAGAAGGCCUUAUAUAAACUGUGUUGUUUGCAGCAAAGACUUCCAUGACAGCACUGACCCCUACAUUGACUGUGUUCUUCAAAAAGAUGUGAAUAAGCAAGAUAACAUCCGAUAUAACAAGUGUACAUCUCUUCAACUUGGAGGGAUUACAACUUUAGCCUUACGUGCCGAAGAAGACCUUCAGACUGGAUGCCUUGGCUGUUUCUGAUAACGAAUGAAAGAACGUGUCCAGCACUGGAUGGUCAGAGGUCGUCCUUAUAAAGCACUUCAGUCUUUGGAUUGAUAAUGUAGCCUUUUGGGAGUUUCGGUUGGAAUUUUCAAAACAAUGCAAUUGUCUCAAAUACUCUUUCCAAUUUUGAAUCCCUUAUAUUAUCGUAAUCCGCAUAGAUAAAUAUUCUAAACGUACCCUUCUUUGCUGAUUCUCCACAUAUAUUUAUAGAAAAAUUCAGAAAUGUCUACUACUUAAUAAGAUUCACAUGGAUUACCCCACAACAUAUUUCAAUGUUGUACGUUUAUGAAAUGAUAUUACUGUUGAAAGUAAAGCUUACUCUAAUUUAACCAGUAUGAGGGGUGAAAUAAGGAUGUUACUGGAUUUUUUUCUAAAUCUUUGUUUUACAAUUUUGGGAAGAAAAUUGCCUGUGUCUGCAUAGGUCUUGCAGUGUAAAAUGAUUGCAGCUCUGUUUCUACUUCUCUCAGGGCAGAUUGCCCACAGUCUUAUCUCUGGGCAGCCAUGUCUGCCUGUGACCGCAGAUCACUACCAUAACAUAAUGAACUUAGGUCUGGUCCCUAUGGCCAGGCUGUGUUCACUGAGUCUGCACAUUGUCAAUUCAGUAUUUUCCUCAGUCACUGUGAUCAUACGUCUGUAGAACAAACUGCAUUAAAGUUUGCUUUGUCUCUUUCUAGGUGCUAUUUCUUUUAUAUUCGAUGAUGGGUUGGUUGGUUAACAACAACCGAAACAGACGGGAUUGGCUUAGAUUUUCGGACUUUAAUCAAAUAUUAUUUUAAAAGGGGUGGAUCAGCUUUAUUGCAGAAAGAUUGCGUCCAUAAUUUCCAAUCCCCCAUAUUUUUGGUGUCCAGAGCAUGGAGGAGCUACUAGGAGACAGGCCAGUACAUCAGGAGAUGUGGAGGAGGCCAUAGGAGGGCCCUGGGUUCCUCCUAAUGCAAGACAAUGCUAGACCUCAUGUGUCUGGAGUGUCAGCAGUGCCUGCAAGAGGAAGGCAUGAUGCUAUGGACUGGCCCGCCCGUUCCCCAGACCUGAAUCCAAUUGAGCACAUCUGGGACAUCAUGUCUCGCUCCACCAACGCCACGUUGCACCACAGACUUGUUAUUUUUGCUAUUUUGUUGCCUUUAAACCUGGAAUUUAAAAUGGGUUUGUAUCAUUUGAUUUCCAAAACAUGUCUACCACUUUGAAAGAUGACAUUUUUUUUAUUGUGAAUCAAAUAAGAGACAGAGGUUAGUGUAGCAUAACUAUUCACCCCCCCAAGUCAAUACUUUGUAGAGCCACCCUUUGCUGCAUGUCUCUAUAAGCUUGGCACAUCGAGCCACUGGGAGUUUUACCCAUUCAAGGCAAACCUGCUCCAGCUCCUUCAAGUUGGAUGGGUUCCGCUAUCUAAGUCAUACCCCAGAUUCUCAAUUGGAUUGAGGUCUGGGCUUUGACUAGGCCCUUCCAAGACACAAAUGUUUCCCCUUAAGCCAGUCGAGUGUUCCAUUACAUGAAAUCCAAAUAAAAAUCACAGGUUGUAAUGCAACAAAAUAGGAAAAACGCCAAGGGGGGUGAAUACUUUUGCAAGGCACUGUAUUUUUGACCUGAAUUCAUCUCCUUUCAUUGAGUUAGUUUCAAGUCUUUAGACACCCAGGGCUUUUUGUUGGGAAAUACUCUGAAAGUUUUGUUAAUGACAGAAACUGGAUGUAUACUGUCUGUCAACUCGUGGGGAUCCUUGAGCUCCUCCCUACUCCCCUCACCUGAUUUCUCUACAGGUUUUUCACCUGCUGGAUGGAUAACGUUAUAGUGUGAUUUCCCGACUGGGGGGGUUUGCGUUGCCAUACCACUGACCCAGGAUGUGAGUUGGACAGGUGACCUACUGUUGCAGAGUGGGGAGGUGCGCGGAGAGGGAGAGCGUAAUAAAAUCCCCAAGCACAAA